UUGCUUCAGCAGCACAUAUACUAAAAUUGGAACGAUAUAGAGAAGAUUAGCAGGGCCCUUUGAGCAAGAAUGACAUGCAAAUUUGUGAAGCGUUACAUAUUUUU